UACGUAGGGUGCGAGCGUUGUCCGGAAUUAUUGGGCGUAAAGAGCUCGUAGGCGGUUUGUCGCGUCGACUGUGAAAACCUACAGCUUAACUGUGGGCUUGCAGUCGAUACGGGCAGACUUGAGUUCGGUAGGGGAGACUGGAAUUCCUGGUGUAGCGGUGAAAUGCGCAGAUAUCGGGAAGAACACCCGUGGCGAAGGCGGCUCUCUGGGACGGUACUGACGCUGAGACGCGAAAGCGUGGGGAGCGAACAGG
rnacentral:rRNA from 1 species